GAGUCAUGCAGGAGCCCUGCUCUGUGUUCACAGGUCCCUGGGUGGAUGCGACCUCCGUGGCUGCACAGGAAGGCGGUACCUCUGUCACUGCCAUCACUGCCUGCCCUCCCCAGACUGAGGACCCUGGGCACAGACACAGUCAUCGAGCACACAAGAGGAAGAUGCCACGAGAGACCCACAGAAUUGGGUCCCAGUGACUUCCGGUCGAUGAGACAAGAAAAUAUGAGGGAGUGUGGGUGGCUGGAGCGUGACUUAUUUGCUUUUUAGGCAACUGUCAACAGGAGGACGUAAGCCCACCUGAGGAAACGUCUGCACAGCGUAGAGACCUGCUCUGUAAGCAGUCGGGUGACCACACUGCACCAUUGCCCUCGAGGUAGAAAAGGUCAUUCUGGGAAACUGAGACUUUGCACAGCUGAAGGUGACCAGGACAGAGCUCCUCAGUGUCCCCAGAAAUGACAACUUCAGAUGUUCAGAUAAUGUCACCCCCAUCCAGAGUGCCCAAACACAAGCCAGGACCCAGCCAUUGCAGAACCAGAUGACAGUGCAGGGCCAGCACGGAUUGAAACCUCCCAGCAGGCACAUGGGCAAUGAAGACUGACUGAGCCCAUCCUGGGAAAGACAGACCACCAGGACAGACGUGCCAAAGCCACGCAAGCAUGGGAUGUUCCACCCUGUGACCGGACACUCUGAAGUAGGUCUGAUUAGUCGUAUACGGAGGAGGAGCACUCUUGUGGGAGGAGUGACAGGCAUGGUUAGCGGUGGGGAACAGAACAGCAUCUUCUAGAUGGCUGGAGGCAAGGACCCCUGUGUUCAGACUGACGGGCUCAAGCUCAGGAGUUUUGUGGGGUAGACUGAGGAAGAUUGUUGUUUUGGCUAAGAGGUUUGUUAGCUGUUAACACUGUGAAUAUAUUGACAGACAGACAGACAGACA